UACAGAGGUCUCAAGCGUUGUUCGGAUUCAUUGGGCGUAAAGGGUGCGUAGGCGGCGGGGCAAGUCUGAUGUGAAAUCCCGGGGCUCAACCCCGGAACUGCAUUGGAUACUGCCUUGCUCGAGUACUGGAGAGGGAACUGGAAUUUACGGUGUAGCAGUGAAAUGCGUAGAGAUCGUAAGGAAGGCCAGUGGCGAAGGCGAGUUCCUGGACAGUUACUGACGCUGAGGCACGAAGGCCAGGGGAGCAA
rnacentral:rRNA from 1 species